rnacentral:rRNA from 1 species
CCUACGGGAGGCAGCAGUGGGGAAUAUUGCACAAUGGGGGAAACCCUGAUGCAGCGACGCCGCGUGAGUGAAGAAGUAUUUCGGUAUGUAAAGCUCUAGCAGCAGGGAAGAAAAUGACGGUACCUGAAUAAGAAGCCCCGUCUAACUACGUGCCAGAAGCCGCGGUAAUACGCAGGGGGCAAGCGUUAUCCGGAUUUACUGUGGGUAAAGGGAGCGUAGACGGCAGCACAAGGCUGGAGUGAAAUGCCGGGGCUUAACCCCGGAACUGCUUUGGAAACUGUGCAGAUAGAGGGCAGGAGCGGUAAGUGGAAUUCCUAGUGUAGCGGUGAAAUGCGUAGAUAUUAGGAGGAACACCAGUGGCGAAGGCGGCUUACUGGACUGUAACUGACGUUGAGGCUCGAAAGCGUGGGGAGCAAACAGGAUUAGAUACCCGAGUAGUC